rnacentral:rRNA from 1 species
UGAGGAACCUGCCCUUGACUCUGGGAUAACAGUUGGAGACAGCUGCUAAUACUGGAUAUUCAUCGUCUCCUUGGUGGGGGUGGUGGAAAGCUCCGGCGGUCAGGGAUGGGCUCGCGGCCUAUCAGCUUGCUGGUGAGGUAAUGGCUCACCAAGGCUUCGACGGGUAGCCGGCCUGAGAGGGCGACCGGCCACACUGGGACUGAGAUACGGCCCAGACUCCGUAGGGAGG